GAAUGAAUUGAUGAACAAUUUGUUUCUCUAUUGGUUUGAUUCACCGGUAUGAUGGUGUAGUUUUUGUAUUCGUACUGUCUGAUCAUUC